CCGCGUGGGUCAAAGGGCCAGCGCAUGCCUUUUAUGGGUUGUCGCCAGCCAUAGUCGGACAUGAGGCAAUAAAAGCUUGGCCCACCAACCACAUGGCUCCUACCGCCCUGUCAGCGUAGAGGUGAAUGGAGCGUAGGGGCGGCAGAGUUGGUGGGGUCUGCCGAGUGCUUCUGGCGUAGCAGUUCGGCAGUGCCGAGCUGUUUGAAGUCAUCACAGAUAUAAACUGCCUGUUGCAGCAACUCACAAUCGCAUUCCUGCCCGUCAUGUCGAACAGCGGAGCGCUAAUUUCAGUUUGAGGUCUGCACUCUUACUACAAUGCAAAUGGUGACAGCAUCAGGCUGCACUCGGUAAGUUAGUUUGAGACCGGUUCUUCAUGCGGCACUCCGCGAGUGCGGUGCACUCUGGGAGAUGACUCGCAUAAUGCCAGUGCGUUUGAAACGAGCUUGCUAUAAGGCCCGCUACUCAUGGGAUAAGUUACUCAUAUAGUUUUUGGGCAGCUGAUGAGUUAUUCCCCCCUCCACAGCGACACGCAUUGCUGGGUUUGGGUACGACUUGAAACCGAUGAGCAGCUCUGACAACUCUAAGGUGUUUGAAGCGGCAGGAGCAGUUCAGGGACACAAUAUUUCCACGUGACCUCCCUUGCAGUAGUGGUGAUGGUGCGUCCAGUAGCGGCUCCCUCAGCUCCGAACGGAGUAACUCAGUUGGAGUUCUCGGUGCACCUACUGAACGUCAAAACAAGCGCAGCUCUUCAGCAGCUGAGCACGAUUGCUUUAUUUGAUGGCUGUAUUGAAGAAGUCUCAAUAAUUUUGUUAAUGGAAAAGUGAGUGUCUGUUGUGGGAGCCACUGGUUUCCCUCCCCCAAGGGAACGUAAGCUGCGGACGUGCGGACGUUCCUUCUGGAGUCGUCUGUCUUUAAGCCUGCUCGUUCCGAAUCGUGUCAGGGAGAGUAUGCCACCCUGCUGGCCUACUCUCGCACUCCUCUGCACGUCUCCCAUUUUCGGGGGACCUGCGAGAUCGUGUGGGACGGUCUUCUGAAUUGACUUUCGUCUGGCGAUUAGUCCUGAAGUGUGCUACGGGCGACGGGUCAAGUGCGAAGAGAUCCUAUGAGUGCUGUGCAAUUUAGAACACCUUUAAAAAAUCCCAAAGAAAGCUGCUUUUUUUUUUUUGUGGAUGUCAUGUCGGAUUUUUCACUAGCCACUGUUGUUAAACUUCCAGAACUCUAUGUGCCAAGAAAUUGAGAGAGAGGAGAGGAUGAGGGUGCAGGAAUGUCAAAACGCAGAGCUCCGAUUGGAACGAUUAGUGGGUAGACCUAAAGCUAACUGCCUUUGUCUGUACUGCACGUGCAGAACGUCGGUGUCCAGCGUUUCGCAUUUGCAUUCAAAUGCGUUUGACGAGUGCAGUGGGGAUAAAGGCAGCCUUUGUUUCUGCACUCGUUGAACACGUUCGACUGCAGAAUGCGGGCGUCCAGUGUUUGGCUCUCGCAUCCAAACGUCCUCGACGAGUGCAGUGGAGACGAAGGCAGCUAGCUUUAGGUGUACCCACCAAUCCUUCUAACCAGAGCUCGGGUGUCCUGACGUCCCUGCGUGCUCUCUUCCACUCUUCUCCCUCAUUUUCUUGGCACAUGCAUCAUGGGCAGAUUUUAAGGGUGGGGGGACUAGGGCCCCCAGGGUUAACUUUUUUCAGUGAAAAAUCUACAUAUGCCAGCUUUUGUUAGGAAGAAAUGAUUAGUGGCUUCCAUCCAUACUCGAGAACCGAAUUAAACGCAAUAGACUACUUCCAUAAAUUCCUGCAUGCAACACGGCACGGAUUGCACUCUGGGACCUAGUUAGCCAGGGAGGAGAGUGGCAUGGUUUCGGUUUCGAUCGACACAUCGACAAGAGAUUAUACACGGAGUGUGGACUAUAAACGGCCGUUAUUUCAUAUUUUCUGGUCCCGAGAAUGCCAUUUGUGGUCUUUAAACUAACCUAAAUGGCCAGACCUCGAAGCUUUAGCACAAGCCUGAGAUGUAUAAAUGCUUGUUGUAUUUUUGUACUUGAGCCUUUUUGUUAGCGUUUCGAGGUAUGUGGACGAGCCAGUGCUGGGAAUCUUGACGCUGCGAAGCUGGGGGAUCUUGCUUGUGUACAAAUCAACAAGCUGUAGCAACCAAUAAGUAUGCAUACAUCGAGCUCGCGCCUUUACAUUAGUGUUGUAGAUCAGGAAGUUUUUUUGUUUUUUUUUUGUUGUUGUUUUUCGUGCAUCCAUAGACGAAAUAUAACUUUUUGCAAUUACUGUUUUUCUUAAUACGCCUGAGUAUGCGAAGUAAAACGCGGACGCGCCAUUGAAAAGCUCCCUUCGAACACACUUCUCAUCUCUUAUCUGUACUGCCCCGCAGCACUGCACGAAGUGAAGUCACCCGCCCGCUCCCCUUCCACUAGUAUUCAACAUCACGUAUGCUAAUAAAGUUAUCCUGUAAUAAUAUAGGUACAUUCGCACAUACAAAAAAAGAAAGCAGAAGUCGAGCACUUGUGUGAACAAUGUUGCACCGUUCACCGGAAGUGCACUGGACGGGCAUGAAUUCUGCGGUGCGCCGAACGAACAAAAUUAUUCAAUGCGCAUUUGACAGUUGCUAAAAGCCAUAAUAUUUGUUAUGUGUUUGCUUUCUUCCUGACUGAGUAUGCCAAGAUAAUUUCAGACACACCGUUCAGGCACAGAUCUUGGGCGUUAGUAAAAGCUCGUCCAAGAAGGCUUAGUGAGGAGUAGGGGACGCUUGUUAGGGCCCCCGUCAUAGCUAGCCGAUCUUAGCGUUUGCGAAAAUUUAAUCUUCUAUCAGCUUAAAAUUUGAGUGUGAGAUAUGUGAUGACACGAGGAAGACAUAGUACCUUUUAUGUAGUAGUGAGGUUGAAUUUAAUGUGUUUCCUUAAAAGUUAAUGCGCCAACGGUGGGCUCAACUUUGAUACUCCUGUGAGGAUGUGGCUUGCUUUUCGCCCAAUGAAGUAACAAGAAGCGUACGUUUGGCAAACAAAAUAUGUGUAGGGCUCAAGGUGACCAAAUUUCAGUUGUAGUUCAGUGGUACUGGACAAGAUUACUGACACUGAGCUCAAAGAUGCACUCGUGGGGUGACGUGACUAAGCCACGUCUUACUACAUUUGCAUAUGCACGCAUAAUAUCCGGUGUUUUUGGAACCAAGGAAAGUGCCCCGGUCUUCGUUUUGUAUCGCUCGAGAAUGAGUGUAUUGUACAUUCGUAAAAAAAUUCAGAUAAUCAAAAACGCGAGCAGCGUAUUCGGUCGCGGCGUGAUAGCAUGAGAUGAAGCUGCUCAGUCGAAACCAAAACUAAUUGGCCAACUAGUUCCCAGAGGGCACUGCGUGGUAUUUCACCGCGAUGGGGCACGUCGGUUUUGGAAGAAGUCUGUUGCAACGCCGCCAUUUCUCCCACAGCAGCCACUAAGGAAACUCCACGGCUACACUUAGUGGUUCCGUCGAGUCGCAGAAGAGCCAGUGGCGCUAAAGUUCCUGUAUAGGCUCCCUACGGGAGCCAGAGUUGCGUGUUCAUCUCCAUAGCGCCGUCUUUCCUGCACGGCAUAUGGAGCCUGCUCCUGAUGUGACUGAAUCCAGCGAAUGGCAGCACGGUGCGCUCAAAAGUAGGGGAACGUAUGCCAGGGUACGUGCAAUGUGUACUUUCGUGCACGGCAUUUGAGUCUGCUCCUCACAUGAUCACAUCUCGGUGAGUAGCGGUGCGGCGGUACGUGGAAAACAGUCAUGCAACUAUGGCUCCUGUAAAGAGCCUAUACAGGAACUCUACGUGGUGCCAUCUCGCAGGGUCAUUUUGCAGUAGCUAAAUAAAACAACUUGCAUGUUUUAAUUCGUCGCAAAAGGGUGGCGCUGUUAUCGUAUUUAGUUUUGUCUCGGUGAACGCCAGCGGUCCAGGUUCCAAGAGUGAGUUUUCCAACUGAGCGUUUUAGUAACGUUGGUGUUUAGUGACAUAACAAAUAUUAGGUUAACAAAACAGAUCUGGGCAACAUUUUGCCCAUGAUAUCAUCUCUCUUCCCCCGCAGGCUGACCCAUAAAUUUGCCCCUGCUCUGCAUUGCCCUGCAUGUUCGGGUCAGAUAAUGGUUCCUGUUGACCCGAUGGACUCCUUUGUUCUCUGCAUUCAUCAUAGGUUACAGUCGUGAAUCAUGAACCAAGACUGCACUCUUAGGCCCACUCCUUUUUGGUGGAUCGGGUCUUGCCAUCUUCACCUUUCGUGGCUUCCUGUCGUAAUUAAAUAAAUUGUCAUAUUUUUUUCUGAUGGUGGUGCAUACCUCAUGCCACACUUGACAAAAAUAGUGUGGUGAAUCCAUGCCUCGGAUUACUGUGAAACAUGCGAGAAGGUAAUUAUUGAGAAGAUUAAACUCCGAAAUGUUUGAUGGAAAGACGAUAGAUAUACCCCGUUUAAUAUUUCUGGCCACUUUAAGCAUGCUGUCCCCGAAGUAUUUCAGCCUAUCAUUGCAUCGGCUCUUGACCAUUCACACUUGCAAGGAAAGGCUAUCAGCAAGGGUUUC